CACGCGCACUCGUGUAAUGCAAGAACUAUAUCUAAUUUACAUUUAAUUUUGAAAAUAGCAGACAUUUACAUAGGGGCCUAUAUUAUUUUUUAAAUAAUUUUAAUAUGUAGGUAUCUAUUAUUAACAUUUAUACAGGACCACACCACGCUUAAUUCAAAGCGCAUGUUACAUAUAUUUUACACACGAAUUUACAAGAAUACCUACUUCAAAGAUAAACGCAUUUAUUAGGUAUACAAAAAAUAAUGAAAAAUUUAUAGAAAAAUAUAGAAAACAACAGCCAUGAGCAUCAAUAAUAAAAUAAGUGAAUAAAAUGUGAUGAUAGGUUUUUUAAAUAUUUAUGUGUGAUAUAAGCAUAGAUAUGUAUAUAAGUAUUUUGUUGUGAUUUCAGGACAAUAAAUGCAAUAAAUUAAAAGUAGAUUACUAGUUGCGGCGCUAUCUCACAAAAUAAUAUGGAAAAUAUAAAUAAAUAAUUAUAAGAACUUCAUUAAAAAUGAGGUAAUACGCCACAAAACUACGCCUUUUCGGAAAAGUUACAAAGCAAACUGAACUCUUAUCUCCCCGUUACGUAAUAAAUACAUUUGGUCGAAGCAAAAUGAAAAAGAGCCGCGAAAGCGUUCGUGACGCCUGUCAGUGAUUUCUGUGUUGCAAAUAUAAACAUUAACAAGGAUAAAGUUCAAUUUACGUGGCAACAUGAUAGAAAAGACGUGACAAAGACAAUAAUUAUAAUUUAAAAAUAUCUCAGACUUCAGACAAGAAAAAGCAAAGGAUACUUGUUAUCUUCUUCUUCCUAACAUUAAAAGUACGUAUAAUAAUCUUUUGGAACACACAAUUACAAAAAAAAGAUUUUCAUAUAAUAGAUAAAAGCUAAAAAGAAUAAUUUUACGUGAUGAUAAGUAGAUAGGAACAAAUCUUGCGAACUUGCAGUUCCAAACAAUUUGAAUACAAAUCAGAAGCUUUCUUAAAAAUACUAAUUUAGAUUAAGAUAGCAAAAAUGAGUUUUGCCGGCGUGAAUAUUGCACAUCGAACUUCAUAAAGAGAUUUCUGCUUCGUAGUGUGUCGUUUCUAUCACUCAUACAAGAGAGAGACAAUGCUCAUGAAAUCGUUAUCUCUUACUAAAGUUUGACUUUUCUGCCGGGUACUGUAACUUUUUUACCUAUUAUUCAAAUUUUAUUUAUUUAUUUUAACAAAAUAUAAUCAAUAUUAUAAAUGCGAAAAUGUGUUUGUCUGUCUUUUAUCUUUACACUACACAUUCGUUAACCAGCUACUUUUAUCUAUAAAUCAAUGGGAUUUUUAAAAAUCUAAAUGCUCGCAGACGAAAACACGGUAUCAUCUAGUGGCAAAAUUAAAGUGGUGAACUGAUUUGCAUUUAUUGCAUAAUGUGCAUACAAUUCGACACCGAUUUAGAAUUUCGGUUAUUAGCUAAAAUUGCAACAUUAUAGCUACUC